UGGCUACCAGGACUUCACGGAGUCUAUUGU
rnacentral:piRNA from 1 species